ACAAGAGAUACUUCAACUCCUCCACUUUGGGCAGCAACUCACCCCUGACCUGGACUGGGGACUAUGACCUCAGAAUUGGAAAUCCUGAUUCUCGUUCCUGCAGCUUUGGGUGUGAGCUGCUCCAGUGCAAGCUGGAGGCCACCACUUAAAGAAGGCAAUGACCCCACAUGGUCCUCAAAAAGUCGAGAUGAGGCUCUGAGGCCACCAAGAUGGAAGUGUUCUGUUGCCUGGCUUUGCCUGGAAAUUCUCAGUUCAAAUUAUUUGUGACAGCAUGAACCAAACUCUCACUUUACAGGGACCAAAUGGCUCAUAGCAAGUGGCCAGACACCCCAUGCUCCCGAAGCACCUCCCACAGGAGACUCACAGGGAUGCAGUCGAAUCCCUGUGAUAAGUCCACAAAACACAUGUGGAUGGGCAAACUCCCAUGCACUCUCAAACAUCCUUGAGAGGAUAAAGGGAAGAUCCACGACCGGACGAAACCACAUUUGUUUAUUUUCAGGAAGUGACAGUCAGCAACAGGAAGUGUUGGACCUGAAAUAAACACAACAUCCAGAUGAUCCAGUGAGACUGAAGAAAACCCAGAGGUGGCAUACGACCUGGUACUAAAUACAUUAGAGGGUUCCCCAGGCAACCAGAACGUGGAGUGUCCACCAGCAACCGAUCGUCAGCUGCAAAGCAGAGUAUGACGAGUAUGACCAGCGACUUCAGAGGCCACACCCUUGACAAUGCACACUUCAAUCCAGUGUUGUAUGUUGGAGCAGCAGUUUAUCGGCAGCUGAGAGGAAGAGGUUGGAUAAACUCAUCAGGAAGGCCAGCUCUGUUCUGGGAUGCACCCUGGACCCAGUGCAGGUGGUGGGAGACAGAAGGACUCUGGCCAAAAUAACAUCUCUGAUGGACAGAGUCUCCCACCCCAUGCACGGAAAUGUUGCUGAACUGCAGAGCUCCUUCAGUGACAGACUGCUGCAUCCUCGAUGCAUGAAGGAGCGUUUCUGCAGGUCCUUCCUCCCUGCAGCUGUCAGACUGUACAAUCAGAACUGCU
ensembl:lncRNA